UAUGUACUUCCUCGGUCCGGAAAUACUUGUCAUAGGAUUGAACUUAUCUAGAUGCAUUUUGGUUAUAGAUACAUCUACUUUUAUCCAUUUUUACGACAAGUAAUUCCGGACGGAGGGAGUAUAUC
rfam:Hordeum vulgare subsp. vulgare, WGS project CAJW01000000 data, contig: morex_contig_99726